UAGCUCAGUUGGUAGAGCGCAACCUUGCCAAGGUUGAGGUCACGAGUUCGAACCUCG
rnacentral:tRNA from 2 species